GAAUUCUCUUAGCUUUUGCUUGUCUGUAAAGCUUUUGAUUUCUCCAUCAAAUCAGCUCGGUGGUUUGUGGCCACCUGGAGGGGUGGGAUAGGGAGGGCGGGAGGGAGGGAGAUGCAAGAGGGAAGAGAUAUGGGAACAUAUGUAUAACUGAUUCACUUUGUUAUAAAGCAGAAACUAACACACCAUUGUAAAGCAAUUAUAUUCCAAUAAAGAUGUUAAAAAAAAAGAAGAUAU